AGGACAGUGACUGACCUUUACAGUCUGCUGGAGUUGGUCCAUCUCUGGGACAAAGGCCCCCAGUUUCCCCUGUUGUCCUGAUUAUGUCUGUGUAACAGAAAAGAUGAAGUCUUGUGUUUGUUUAGUGAGGUAAAAGAGACAAAAGUGAAGCGGGGUGCAACGUGGGAGAGGUGUUGUUCCUGGGACAAAGUUGUAAUCACUUCUUCCGUGAUUACUUUAUUUAGCCGUGGAGUAACAGAGUGUCAGAUCAUUUCCCAGCAGGGUGAAAGUCCACUCCACAGGCAGAGUCCUGGAGCAGCCCCGUAAACCGUUUGGCAAAACAUCCCUCUCUGAGAGAGCAGUCUGGUUAAAGGAUAUCUGUUGCACUACGCCAGACCACUGAAUUAUUAAAAGAGCUGAGUCUUUGGAUUUCCACUGGAGCUGCUAGUGCAGCAACACACAUAAAACGCAAGUAGUGGACUCUGCUUCUUAACUUGAUUAAAGUGCCCUCUCUGAGAUUAACAGAUCUUAUGAAUGACAGACUGAUUGUGAAGUUGCAAAAGGGCAAAAUCAGAUCUCAUGCAGUCACAGCUACAUGCAGAAGAGGAGAGCAUUCCAGAGGGCUCCCGGAUCAUCUUCUCUGGGGAUCAUGGGAUUUCUUCUGGUGAACACAUACUAACAUCUCCAGAGAUGACGCAUGAAGUGGUGGUCAUCUCCCCCGGUCUUCCCACCCCUCCCAUCAGCCCUUAUCACUCCGCAAGGUUCCCAUCAGGGGAGUAUAAGGAGUCAAAAGUAAAUGGAAGUGGUUCAACGACUCUCAGCUUUGGAUCAUACUACGGUCCUUCAAAACAAAUGGUAAGUAGCGCAUAAAAAUAUAUUGUCUCACAAUAUUUGAAUUAAAUAAUCUAUUGAUG
rnacentral:lncRNA from 1 species